UCUUCCUUGCAUGGUUACGAUGAGAGUGACGAGGAUGGUGAUGAUGGGUCGAAUGAUGAAGCCCCUUUUGGUGCCUCCCUCGAUGUUGGUCAGAGUGGAAAGGACGAAGAUAGAUCAUCGCCAUGAACGAAUAUUAUGUGUGCUUUUCAUUUAAAAUGAUGAAGCUCCUUUUGGGUCGAAUUAUAGUGUGCUUACCAUGAACGAAUACCGGUUGUCGUUGA